CUUAUGGAGAGUUUGAUCCUGGCUCAGGACGAACGCUGGCGGCGUGCUUAACACAUGCAAGUCGAACGGUCCGCAUAGAUAGCUUGCUAGCUAUGCGGAUAGUGGCGGACGGGUGAGUAACGCGUGAAUACCUGUCCAUCGG
rnacentral:rRNA from 1 species